AACCCCUCCUGUCUGGGGGCAGCCAGGUUUUUCUGCUGAGCCCUUGGGAGGAGGAGGGGGCAGAAAUGCUGCUCUCAGCUGCAUGUGGGUUCAUUAAUUAAGGUAAAUGCUUCCAGCUGAGUGGGUAGAGAGUGCUGCUGGGGCUGCCUUGGGACUCCUGGCAGGGAAGCUCCUCUGGCACUGAGGUAGCUGGUCUUGCAGCUCUGCAGGGAUGGUUUGGAAGUGCAGGGUGCUUGCUGUUGAUGUUCCUCCUCUUGAAGGCCCCAGUCUGGGACAUUUUGGAUCCCUCCUCUGGAAGUACCAAACCAGGACAUUUUGGUGAUGCAGGUGAGCAGUGCCAGCUCAACUCCACCUGGGUAAGGCUGUGCCCACCCUCCAUCACCCAAGGAUGAAGACCUUCUGAUGUGCCAUGAUCCUGCAGGAGAGCUCCUGGACCACUCCAUCCCUUCGAACAUCACACCCUGGCUUCAUGAACCCACUUACAGAGCAAGAGGAAGUCCUCUCUCCUCCAUCAGCCUGUUCUCUCUCCAUCAGGAUGCUGCUCCAGCACCUGGCGUGGCCAGGAAAACCUCAGGGCUGCUCAGGCCCUGCAACAUGAAAGCAUCCCCAGAGCUGCAGGGAUGGAGAUGGGAUGGAGGGAGCAGCGACAGCCUCUUCUACAGUGAGUAAAUUGUACGUGCUGGCAGUGGAUAUCCUCAGCCGUAAAGAAAAUUAGAAAGCACGGUGAUUUCUGGUCAAAUGUCUUAUUUAAAACAUAAAUAAAUAGCAUUUCAAAGCAAUGCA